CUAAAGAUAGCAUUAAUAAAUGUAACAUGUUUACAUCAUGUAGAACUAAUAGUUAUUUAGUCUUUAGU
rnacentral:tRNA from 1 species